CCCAGACUCCUACGGGAGGCAGCAGUCGGGAAUAUUGCGCAAUGGAGGAAACUCUGACGCAGUGACGCCGCGUAUAGGAAGAAGGUUUUCGGAUUGUAAACUAUUGUAGACAGGGAAGAAAAAAAUGACAGUACCUGUAAAGUAAGCUCCGGCUAACUACGUGCCAGCAGCCGCGGUAAUACGUAGGGAGCAAGCGUUAUCCGGAAUUAUUGGGUGUAAAGGGUGCGUAGACGGGAAUACAAGUUAGUUGUGAAAUCCCUCGGCUUAACUGAGGAACUGCAACUAAAACUAUAUUUCUUGAGUGCGGGAGAGGAAAGUGGAAUUCCUAGUGUAGCGGUGAAAUGCGUAGAUAUUAGGAGGAACACCAGUGGCGAAGGCGACUUUCUGGACCGUAACUGACGUUGAGGCACGAAAGUGUGGGGAGCAAACAGGAUUAGAUACCCUGGUACUU
rnacentral:rRNA from 1 species